GGAGGACUCAGCCCUGCUCUGCCUGAUAGCACCCACUUUGGGUACCUAUUGGAGAGGUAAUAUUCAGAGCUUGCUUUUGCUACUUUAUAGAUUUCUGUUUCCACUGGAAACAGCAGCUAUUGGAGAAAAACUGGGCAAGUGUUUCUUUUUGCAGACAGACUGGACACACAAGCCCUAUAAGCAGUAUGAGGGCUCGGGUAAAGGGAGCCAGUUUCAUUUUGUCCAAACUGGAAGGAGAGGGGUUGCUGCUGGGACCAGUAUAGCCAGAGCAGUCCCAGUUGGUAGGAGUAUGUGGUCUCAACAACGGGGAGGAGCUGGUGAUAUGCGCGACAAUGUCCUGGGAUCGAGUCUUCUCUGCCUUUUUGCCAGUGGUUUGGUGGUUGUGUCCUGGGUGGGGUUUGGUUUAUGUGCAGUGUGGUGGAAAUUAUUCUGGCUGUGGGCUUGGCCCCACAUACACUAUUUGGGCUCUGAGAGUCCCUCUGACAUGGGAAUUUCAAAGAUGAUUGCUUGGAGAACCCUGGGCAUCCCACACUAGGAGGCAGACAGUAGAAUUGCCCGAUGAGCUUGUAGGAGUUCUUGGGCCAUCUGCAUGAGAUCUUGUCCACUUUUGUCCUGUCUAGGGCUGGACUUGCCCUCUGUUGCCUGACUGUGACCUUCUGCCUAUUGCUUGGCAGAGGUCCUAGUGUGAGCUGUGUAGGUUAGUUCUGUGCUUGCCCCCCCCCCCUUAAUGUUAUUGUAUUUUUAGACCUUUAAUUAAUUUAUUAAUUUAUUUUUAUGUGAUGCUGAGGAUCUAAUCCAAUUCCUCACAAAUGCUAGGCAAGUGUCUACCGCUG
rnacentral:lncRNA from 1 species